AGUGGGGAAUUUUGGACAAUGGGCGCAAGCCUGAUCCAGCAAUGCCGCGUGCAGGAAGAAGGCCUUCGGGUUGUAAACUGCUUUUGUACGGAACGAAACGGCUCUGGUUAAUACCCGGGGCUAAUGACGGUACCGUAAGAAUAAGCACCGGCUAACUACGUGCCAGCAGCCGCGGUAAUACGUAGGGUGCAAGCGUUAAUCGGAAUUACUGGGCGUAAAGCGUGCGCAGGCGGUGCUGUAAGACAGGCGUGAAAUCCCCGGGCUUAACCUGGGAAUGGCGCUUGUGACUGCAGUGCUGGAGUGCGGCAGAGGGGGAUGGAAUUCCGCGUGUAGCAGUGAAAUGCGUAGAUAUGCGGAGGAACACCGAUGGCGAAGGCAAUCCCCUGGGCCUGCACUGACGCUCAUGCACGAAAGCGUGGGGAGCAAA
rnacentral:rRNA from 1 species